rnacentral:lncRNA from 1 species
AGAGUUUCAGGCUUGUUUUUGCAAAAAUGAGCUAGAAUUUGUAGUUUUUCUAGGUGGCUCCCAAUUUUGGCUGUAGUGUUUUCAUGCACGUGGAUGAGAGCAAGUUCUUUGUUGUUUUUCUCCGGUAAAGACAAGAAUGAUUCUCCAUCUUAAAUUGUAUUGCUUAUUUACGUAUUAGGGUACCUGAGGUUUGAUUAUAAACGUUGUUUGACUUGUUUGGAGAAGUUUAUUAGUAACGUUUGGGAUUCAUUUUGUAUGCAUUUUGAUGGAGGGAAACCAGUGGAUUAUUGACUGAAGAGCGCCAGCUAAACUGAGUUUUUGGGGAUAUAAAGAAGCACAUUAUCAAACAAAAGGACCAUUUGUGAUGUAUCUGGGACCUUUUGGAGUGCCAACAGAAGAAGAUCAUCAAAGGCACGCAGACAAUAAUGUAACAGGCAUGUCGAAAAGAAAAUGAGAAACAUCUAUCUUCCUCAUCACAACUGAGAGAAUGAUUUGCAAAUGUGCGAAAGGUAGAAACGAUCAGCUAUUCCUCAGAAUCUUCAAUCAAAAGCGGCAUUAAACGAAAGAGGGGAAGAAAAAGUGAUAUGAGAUGUGUCUGAGAGAGAGGUAUGUGGAGAUGUGUGCUUCUGUAUUAAGCAGUCAUUACUGGGACACACGACGUGGUAAAACUCCUUAUUAUGCCUUGAUAUCAGACCGGUGUGCUAAUGCAUAUUUUAAACCCGCCAAGGAACGAUUCUCAGUGAAUAAGCUUUUUAAAGGAAACACUUACUGCGGGAAUAAACUGGCCCAGUUUAAAGGUUAUCUGACUAUAAUGAAUCGAUUCCCUUUUACAUUUUUCUCAAGUCGUUGCAGAAACACCAAAUCAGCACACUGUCUUACUCCUCUCUUCCUCAUUUUGGCACUCUUCUCUGUUUGAUGGAGAGAUGAGACGAGAAAAGAGACACAGACUUCACAGUAGAAGUUCGAUAUCAGUUGCCAUGUGCCAAACAAAACUGGAAGACUAUUUGGCGAGAGAGAAAAGGAGGAGAGACAAAAGAAGAGAGAAGUGAACCGAAGAGUGAAAAGGAGGGGAUAAGGAGGAGGAGAGAGGAGCAGUUCACGCCCACACAUUCAUCCAUAUCCAAAGCCUGGCUUAUGGACAUGUUUCUACUGCGUUAGUCUCUGCUAUGCAAAUAGUGUAUUGACUUGAGCAGAAUCUCUGUUGUUUUAUUGUUACUGUGCUGCAUUGCUUUCUCUAUGUCCUUAACAAGGGCUCCAAGCCAAGGUCAUUGUGUUGUUUAGCCUAAUGAUUGUAUAAGAAUAGUUCUCCUGUCUCCUUCUUGCUUCCCCGGUUCUGUGUCUUGUUCUCUCCCUCUUAAAGAUCCCGAGGUUGCUGAAGGAGGAGCAGGGGGUAUAGGUAUUUGUUUACGUUUUAGUCCCCCGUGGAAAUUGAACCCACGGCCCUGGCGUUGCAGGCGCCAUGCUGUAGCAACUGAGCCACAAGCUACCUAAUCUAAUGAUUAGGUCCCUAAUGUUUAGUAAUGAGGCAUUUUUUUGUGUGUGUUUUGUGUGUUUCUGUUUUGUUUUUGUUUCGAGGUUUGUGGUGGAACCCAACUCUGUCUGCUGGAUCUCCUGUUUGGUAGUCCGCUUGUUGCAGGAGGCCAGGGGGCAUAGCUGGGAGGAUCGUCAGGUCUGUUCUCACCAUACAACACCCUCUCCACUCAUCCACACGCUCCAUACACUACCGAUCCUACCGAUGUCCCCAGCUUCUGUCAUUUUUUCCAAAUGUAUUAUUAUUUCGUUUAAUACGUUUCUUCCUUUUCACGUUUAAGUCAUGCGUGGUCCCCCUUUGUUGUUACGAACUACGAGCCAGGUUGUAACAUUAUCUUUACAACUUAUUUGUUACAGACAGAGAAUAACAUUUAAUGCAGCACUCGUGCAGUGAGCGAGGGUUUCCCUUGAUUUGCCUUCACUCGGCCUACGUACUCAGUGCCCCAGAGAGACCAACCAAGUCACGCUGCAGUAAAAACCAUCACAUGAACCCUCUGCAGAGAGAAGAGAAUAGAAUUCAUGAGCUUAGGAAUAGAAUUUUUACAAUUUGAAUUGUACCUGCAGGCUGAUUUCCGAACAGGGCCAGAGGAUUGGAUUUGUAGAUUUAAAGAGAUGUCAUCCAACAAAUAUAAAAGCAGAAACUACAUGUGUAACUGGCUUUGGGGGGGAGGAGAGAGAGGAAGAGAGCGGUGGAACAUGAACAUACAAGAUUAUCGAGGAGUAAAGAACAAAGCUCAGGCCAGGUUCAGCUGUAAUUGAACAUGGGAAAAACUGGUCCAGGAAUAAUCAUUUUGCGAGCCAUUGUCACACGAGGAAGAUAGUGUUGGGCACAACUUGCACCAACAUACAAAGCCACCACACCAGCAGGUGCAGCCUCCACAGCCCCCAC